CUCUUAGACUAAGACCAAUCCCACGGCACUACCAGCUCCACCACCAACUCCCCCAAAAAAGAUGAAGGGAAAAAUUGUCCUUGGGCUGCAGUUACUUAUAUGUUCAGCCCUUUUCAGAGGUAUCAAAUCUGAAGGUCUCCUCGAACAAUCGGGAGGAGGUUUGAAAAAACCUGGGGAGUCCCUCCGCCUUUCCUGCAGAGGUUCAGGGUUUGACUUUGGCAACGCGGGCCUGCAUUGGGUGCGACAGGCUCCAGGGAAAGGACUGGAAUGGAUUGCAGUUAUUUGGUUUGAUGCAAGUAAGCAAGAAUACGCAGAAUCUGUGAAAGGGCGCUUCACCGUCUCCAGGGACAAUACCAACCACCAGCUGUAUCUGCAAAUGGACAGACUGAAAAUGGAAGACACAGCAGUCUACUACUGCAGAGCUUACACAGUGAGAGGAAGUGAAUCUGGAAACUGGCAAAAACCUCCCUGUUAUCAGUUACUGUGA